CCUUCAUCAGCAUCUUUGCUUUUGCUCUCCCUCUGCCUCUAGUGUCUUUCCUUCAGACCCCCUUGAAUUAAAAUCUCAGCUGCACUUCACCUCCCUCUCUUUGUCUCACAGUCCACUUGAAUUUUCUCUGCAGCAUUAACCUCCCCAUAGGUAUUUAUGAAUUUCCCCCGUCUUCUUCAUCGUGGAAAGAGGCUGAGUCUGUGUGGUUUACUCCAGAGACUCCACCUUGUCUGAGGAACCUUUGCAUCUAUGAUGGACAUCUAUUGGUACAAAUGGAGAAGACAGAGCAUACUGGGAUACCUUUGACAGGUAGGCGAG
rnacentral:lncRNA from 1 species